GUUCAAUCUAGCUGCCGUGAAACACUGAGGUACUAUCCACCACUUGGAUGCCAAGGUGUUGUAUGGGUGGAGAUUGAAGACUUCCACUGGAAAUACAUUUAUGGGUACAGUCAAAUGGAACUUGUCCAUGAGGACCACGUAUUCUUCUUUCCAGGCUCCCAUAUUCUCUCCUGACACGCUAAGAAAUGAAAGCCUGCUCCUUCAGUGCUGAUUGAGCCUUCUAAGUAAAACAAGUGAAUAAUACUUAACUCCAGGGUGACUUAGGUUGCCAUUUACUAAUAGGUGCAACUUGUGUGAAAGGAUGAGCAUUUUGAAGAACUGGGUGAAAACUCAGUUGGAAAAGCACAGGAAGCCUCUAAAUGAGAGACAGCUGAGUUGGGACAAGCACACAGAGUGCAGACUAAACUACGCCCGUGCAAGGUGCAGACAUCUUCUCAGCCACUCUAUCCACGAAUGCUGUCUGGUGGCAUCCAAGCAUAGCCAAACAUUCAGAUGGAAAAUGAAGAAUCCAGAACAUCUCCCAGAUGCCCCAGGUAUCUGCAUUCUUGGAAAGAAGGAAACCGACUUUCAGAUGAAAACAUCACAUUUCUCUGAAGAAAAUGCCUUUGGUUUUAGUUUGAAGAGGGUUGGCCUCCUGCUGUACUUGAAAAAAAAAUCUCACUUUUAAAACACAAGCAACAGAUGAAUAACCUUUUCCUUCAUCAUGUCUAGUGAUUAAAGCAUACGGUUCUCAGUUUAAAUAAGAUCGUAAACUAUCUUCACUAUAGGUUCAUGUUUGAGAAUUAUUUCAUGAGCUGUUGGCAAUUCAGCAUCUGCUAGAGGUUUGUUCAAACAUCUCAUAUUCAUUUAGGAUUUUAGAUUUUUUUUUUCUAAAUCAGCUGGGCCAUUUACUC
rnacentral:lncRNA from 1 species